GACGAACGCUGGCGGCGUGCUUAACAAAUGCAAGUCGAACGGAAAGGCCCCUUUGGGGGUACUCGAGUGGCGAACGGGUGAGUAACACGUGAGUAACCUGCCCUUGCCUUCGGGAUAACUUCAGGAAACUGGGGCUAAUACCGGAUAGGAAUCCUUGCUGCAUGGGGGGGGUUGGAAAGCUUCGGCGGUUUUGGAUGGACUCGCGGCUUAUCAGCUUGUUGGUGGGGUAGUGGCUUACCAAGGCUUUGACGGGUAGCCGGCCUGAGAGGGCGACCGGCCACAUUGGGACUGAGAUACGGCCCAGACUCCUACGGGAGGCAGCAGUGGGGAAUAUUGCACAAUGGGCGGGAGCCUGAUGCAGCAACGCCGCGGGCGGGAUGACGGCCUUCGGGUUGGAAACCGCUUUCAGCAGGGGCGAAGCUUGUGGUGACGGUACCUGCAGAAGAAGCACCGGCUAACUACGUG
rnacentral:rRNA from 1 species